rnacentral:rRNA from 1 species
GACGAACGCUGGCGGCGUGCUUAACACAUGCAAGUCGAACGGAAAGGCCCUGCUUUUGUGUGGUUCUCGAGUGGCGAACGGGUGAGUAACACGUGAGUAACCUGCCCUUGUCUUUGUGAUAACUUCUGGAAACUGGGGCUCUUACCGGAUAUAAUCUCCUGCUGCAUGUUGUGGGUUGGAAAGUUUCGGCGUUUGGGGCUGGACUCGCGGCUUAUCCGCUUGUUGGGGGGGUAGUGACUUACCAAGGCUUUGACGGGUAGCCGGCCUGAGAGGGUGAACGGCCACAUUGGGACUGAGAGACGGCCCAGACUCCUACGGGAGGCAGCAGGGGGGAAUAUUGCACAAUGGGCGGAAGCCUGAGGCAGAAACGCCGCGUGCGGGAUGACGGCCUUCGGGUUGUAAACCGAUUUCGCCUGUGACGAAGCGUGAGUGACGGUAAUGGGUAAAGAAGCACCGGCUAACUACGUG